CCGGCGACCGGCGCACGGGUGAGUAACACGUAUGCAACCUGGCCGUCACAGGUGGAUAACCGGAAGAAAUUCCGACUAAUACAGCAUAACACUCCUGAGGGACACCCCUUGGGAGUCAAAGGAGGCAACUCCGGUGACGGAUGGGCAUGCGGCGCAUUAGGUAGUUGGUAGGGUAACGGCCUACCAAGCCGACGAUGCGUAGGGGUUCUGAGAGGAAGGUCCCCCACAUUGGAACUGAGACACGGUCCAAACUCCUACGGAAGGCAGCAG
rnacentral:rRNA from 1 species